GACGAACGCUGGCGGCGUGCCUAACACAUGCAAGUUGAGCGACGAACCAGGGCUUGCCCUGGGGCAAAGCAGCGAACGGGUGAGUAACACGUGGGUAACCUACCCCGAUAACCGGGACAACCCGAGGAAACUCGGGCUAAUACCGGAUGUGCUCACUGGACUUCGGUUCAGUGCGUAAAGGAAGCUUCGGCCUCCGUAUCGGGAGGGGCCCGCGGCCCAUUAGUUUGUUGGUGAGGUAACGGCUCACCAAGACCGCGAUGGGUAGCUGGUCCGAGAGGACGAUCAGCCACACUGGGACUGAGACACGGCCCAGACUCCUACGGGAGGCAGCAGUGGGGAAUCUUGCGCAAUGCGCGAAAGCGUGACGCAGCAACGCCGCGUGGGGGAAGAAGGCCUUCGGGUUGUAAACCCCUUUCAGGAGGGACGAAGGUUCGGCGGUGAAUAGCCGUCCGGACUGACGGUACCUCCACAAGAAGCCCCGGCUAACUACGUG
rnacentral:rRNA from 1 species